CAAAAAUAAUUAUUUCCACGAGUGUGCCGGAUGUGAAAUACACUACAUAAAUGGAUGAUUCCAGAAAGAAGUUACAGUAAUUUCGACCAUAACAGCCUCAUCUCCCCCACAAUGGGAUCUACAUCUUCGUUGGCGCUUUUUCUCAUCGUUUCCCUGCUGUUUAGCGCCUAUUGUCUGCCUGUUGAAAACGAGAACGACCAAUUACAAGGAGAUUCUAGUAAUCGAGGACAAAGAGCUGUAGCUGAAAGGGAAUCCGUUUUCGAAGAUCCACUCGUAAAACCGAUCAAAGAUCGUUCGCUUGUCCCUCGCUUCCCUCCAUGUGCUAGAUAUGGCUGUGGUAAGCGGGCUCUACACAUUGGUAAAGAUGCAGACCCCUAUAGUUCCUUGGAAACCAAGAUUCGUCAAUUGCAGCGUAAAAGGGAAGGAGGCAUUUUCCCUCCCUGCUCGCGAUAUGGCUGUGGAAAGCGGAAAUAGAACUUCUAAAUGUUAUUCAAUCAAGUAAAUUAAUUCAAAAGGUGAGAAGAAUCCAACAUAGGUGAGCUGAUGGGAAUUUGGCUCUAGGAUACUGAACGUUUAAAACUCUAAAAAUGAAAUAGCCAAGCACCAUUUUAAUAUA